rnacentral:tRNA from 1 species
CCUUCGAUAGCUCAGCUGGUAGAGCGGAGGACUGUAGUUACAUUCGUUGCAGCCAUCCUUAGGUCGCUGGUUCGAUUCCGGCUCGAAGGA